UCUGUGAUGCCCUUAGAUGUUCUGGGCCGCACGCGCGCUACACUGACACAUGCAACAAGUUUAUUUUUCCUGACUCGGAAGGGUUCGGGUAAUCUUGUAUAAUGUGUGUCGUGCUAGGGAUAGAUCUUUGGAAUUAUAGAUCUUGAACAAGGAAUUCCUAGUAAGCAUAAGUCAUCAGCUUGUGCUGAUUACGUCCCUGCCCUUUGUACACACCGC
rnacentral:rRNA from 1 species